GUAGUCUUCUGCUUUAUCAUUCUAAAAUUCUAUAUUGUGUUUUUACACUAGACGUACGACUACACUCGAAUUAUUAUACACAAAAUUAAAAAUUGUUUACGUUUGCCCGGGCACAAUCUACACUAAAACCGAAAGAGCGUUGGCGAAAAUUUCAAACAUUUAAUCAAAACACAUCUUUGGUUGCAGACUUUCAAUUGAGAUUGAUCACGAGUUUUUACCAGGGUCCCCGCAAUUGUCGAGCAAUUUAUUGAAGGAAGCCAACAACAAGGCACAAUCACGGAAUAGAAUGUUAUAAGUCGGUACUACUGGAGGGUGGCUGCGCUGAUCAUCGCCCAGCUAAACACGAUGAUCAUCUCCAAAUGAAGUACGCCAGUGCCAUCUGCAGAAGCACGGCAAAGUAAUAUUACCAGAGGAAGUUCAGAAAAUCCAUCAUAAACAGAUGGAAUGUAUACAGAUGUAUGCCUACGAGGGGCAUGCAACAGAAUUGGGAAUAGUUUGGUCAUGGCUAUUGGAAUUCUGAUUAAACUUUUGUGUCUGCAAAAGUUUGUUCUUGCACUUGAAAGAAGCUGAAGUGUACGACAUUGAUACACCUACAUGUUGCUCUUCUUAAUAUUCUCUGAAAUAUAAAAUAAAAUACUACAAAAUGUGAA